rnacentral:rRNA from 1 species
GUAUGGUGCAAGCGUUAUCCGGAUUUACUGGGUGUAAAGGGAGCGUAGACGGAGUGGCAAGUCUGAUGUGAAAACCCGGGGCUCAACCCCGGGACUGCAUUGGAAACUGUCAAUCUAGAGUACCGGAGAGGUAAGCGGAAUUCCUAGUGUAGCGGUGAAAUGCGUAGAUAUUAGGAGGAACACCAGUGGCGAAGGCGGCUUACUGGACGGUAACUGACGUCGAGGCUCGAAAGCGUGGGGAGCAAACAGGAUUAGAUACCCUGGUAGUCCACGCCGUAAACGAUGACUACUAGGUGUCGGGCAGCAAAGCUGUUCGGUGCCGCAGCAAACGCAAUAAGUAGUCCACCUGGGGAGUACGUUCGCAAGAAUGAAACUCAAA